UCCUCCUCAUUCCAAAAACUAUAUAAACCGACAACUAUAUGUUCUAUAAUUCACUGACUCCUCACUGCAGCUGAAGGUUCAUUGUGGGACUUCUAAGACAUCACAGAGAUGAAGUGGGUUUUGUGCCUGCUAUCUGCAGGUCUUUUCCUGUGUUUG